CAUGAAAUUGUAUAUGGAAAUAGGAAAUGCCAAUGACAGUCAUGUAUUCCAAAACGAAAUUAAUCUUUUCUACACAUGGUGUAGUAAAAGCCUACUCCAAUUGAAUGUAAAGAAAUGUAAUUCCAUUGCCUUCAGCAGAAAACAUGAAACUCCAAACAUAACAGUAUUAUUAGGAAACCAACCAGUAGAAAAAUGCAAAGUAGUACGUGAUCUAGGUGUCAUCCUAGACUCACAACUAACUUUUGUAGAACACUACACAGAAAAAAAAGUGUAAAUUCACGCGGCACUGAAACCAUGUUUCGAAUGUAAACAUGCUCAAUGUAAAUUUGAAAUUCAAUGUAAACCGUUGAAUAGCAUUUAAAAGGCCUUCACGCAAAAUGAAAUUCGUUGUAAUUCACGAAUCUCAUGUAAAUGGAGCUUUUGCUUCCAGCAAAUCAUAAAUUUGUAAAAUUGAAAAGCAUGUAAUUAUGUUUCUAUUGUAAAAAUUGCUUCCUGUAAACUAAAAAAUAAUUUAAAUUUCAAAUGUUUUUGUUUUGUGAAUGACAGCUCAAAACGCAGACGAACAAAUCGACUGAAUGUUAUUGUUUGUUUAUGCGCGUGGGGUGUGGAAGUGUUUUAGCAUUAAUUGUUGAAGUUUGCGAUUAAAAACAUGCUCAGCAAAUGUUCCAGCAACAGCUGGUUUUUCGGGACUGUUGAGCAAGAGUAGAUGUCUCCGGACAUGCUCGGGUAACUUUCCAGGUUGUUUUUAAUAUCAAUUGGUUGUUUUGGUAAGUUUCCAAAUCAAAUAGAGCACCGUCGAUUUGUAAAAUUUAUACAGCAAAACCUCUUUUAACACACCUUUGAAUUCUUUCAGUUAAAUCGUCAGGACUUGCGUCGUGAGUUAGAUGGGAAAUAUUGACCGAGGAAGUUGCUGAAAUCUGAUGGCGAUCAACUUAGUUGACGGGAACGGUCCUGGUCAAAUGCAGUUGUUGCAUUUGCAUUCAUAACGGGAUAGCGUAAGUGACGUUUUGUGAGAAUAUUACACAACAUUAAACAUUCCACUUCCAGACAUGAAACAUCCGCGUUCAGCCGGUUUAACUUGCGCAGCUGCUUCUCCUCGAACAGCUUUCUCUUGGAUCUGCCAUCUUCCUUAGAACGUUCUAAACUACGACAUCGCGCAGGUAACCACUUUAGUUGACUUAUCGACUAAACGAACUUCGCCGGGACUGAUGUUCCUGAGCCAGGCACAUACUUUCUCAACAUCAACAGGCCCGAUUCGAUGACCAAGCCAAAUUCAGCUUUACUUUCGGUAAAUUUCUGUUUUUUCGAUAUCAACUAAAAUUUAAAAAAUAAUCGAAUCGGGGAGAAAAUUUUACGAUAACAAUAAAUUAAAUGACGUUUCUUUUUGCCUUCUGAUUAGGUACACGCCUAAUUGAGAAGAAACAAAAACAUCAUUUAUUGAUAGAAUAUCGUGUAAUCUAGUACAUUUCUUGGGUUAGUUUUCAAAAGGUUCAAGCGCCAGUUGUAAACAAAGCCAUUUUCGGUCAAAUUAAAAAGAGAGAUGUGAGCCGGUAACAUGGAGUGAUUUUUUUUUUGACAGGAUGAUUGUCUUAUUACUUGUUUAAUUUUUUGAACUUACUUCAGUUAUUUGGUUUUUUAGGGUGCAACUUCCCGCUUUCAGAGUGUAUUUUUCAAGGACACGCAUGCAGUGUUUUAUAUCUAGAGUUUUUGUUAAAGGUCUUAUGGUGUUUUUUGCUUUUCAAUUCUGCUUCCAAAAUUUUCAGAUGAAUUUCAAUAUAAUAUUAAAAAUUUGUUGAAAAUCAAAACUACAAAACUAAUAAAGUGAGCAAACCUGGUUCUUCGUGUACGAUCAAAUUUCAACUGAUCUAGUACUUCGUUUGUGCCUUGUCGAGUCGUCGAGUCGAGGUUGGGAGAAAACGUCAAAGCAAAAUUUUAAACUGUCAAACAGAUAGCACUUUAGCACCAAAAUCUGCUUUUAUGCGAAAUUAUAAAACAAAGUUUAAAUAUUGAUGGUUUCUUUUGUAAAAAUUGACCAAUUUUUACGGUAGGCUUAAAGAGGAGCCAAAACUCCUCCGAAUAGCGUAAUUGGUACUACGAUUUGGCGUAAUUAAGAAUCAAAUUUACAAAAAUUUGGCAAAACCUAUAGACAGACCAGACAGUUUGACCCCCUUCCUGGAAUCCAAAACGAACCAGAACCGCCAUGGUGGCGUGGACAAUAACCUGAAGAAAACGAUUCCGUGCCAGGACGGUAAAAUUUCUUCUAGGGAACGGUUAGUCAACGGAAUCGGUGCGGGCUCUUUCGGUUACGGACAAGUAAGAACGGAAACAAGCAAGAAUGCUGAGAACCGAACGGAGACGGAUAUGGACCAUGUUGCCCAAAACACAAGGCAGACGAUCUAGUCGUCCACGAUCUCCACCAGGUCCACGCACCGCUCGAACUCCAACUUGUUCUCUGGAUGGAACGGCCAAACAACAACCCGGAGCAUUUGAGAUCGUUUGUCUGCGGGCCAGCUACCGGCACCCAUCGGCCGCGUAAGCUGAAAACGAUGAAUCUGAUCGCGCUGAAGCGUGGUAAAUGUGCAGAGAAAUCAGGGGCUCGUCAUCACAGGAUCAUUAGGAUUCAACGUUUGUUGCAAGCUGUGCAAGAUCGAUUCCAGGAUAAACACUUGGACCAGCGAUAGGCGCGAAUUGCAAACCAAGCAGCUAAACGAGAAUCUCAACCCGGAAUCGAUUCGGUUCAAGAUGUGCAGCAAAUUCUUGAAGCGAGUACGCCGGCUAGAAGGUCGGUCACGAGAAAUCCCAGACGCGAUCGUAUUUCGUCCCUCGGCAAUGUUCAGUCUGAAUGGACUGCCUCCUCUUGAAUGGAAACUGCCAAGGGGUAAUUGCUGGCGCUGAAUGAUUUUGUGUUGACAAAAUAGUAGGUGAGUACCAUUCCGUAUUUUUAAAAUCACCAUAAAGUUUAAAGGGAACAAUUCAAUACCCAGUUAUUUUUUUUUUAAAUUUCUUCGCUAAUAUUGAUUCAUGUUUAGUAAGAUUCACCGAGCCACGUAGCUUAGUGGUAACGCUUCCGCCGCGUAAGCGUUAGAUCGAGGUUCAAAUCCCGGCUCGGACCAACACAACUGGUGAUCGUUUCUCUUCUGGAUUCGAUUGCCUAGUAAAGGGAAGGUAGAGCAUCGUCACAAGCUGGACCUUAUUAACGACACCUUAGGAAGGCGACCUAUGGAAUGUUAACAUUAACCUGCACAUGUUAACAUUAAGUAAAGAAAUAGCCACUGAAUCCGCUUUGUAAAUGACGGCCCCGAUACUCUUCAAGUGUGUUCCCCUCAAGAACUGGGAAAGAUUUACUUUACUUUAGUAAGAUUGUAUUCUCUAAUGCUCUGUUGGAUUUGGUGUUCGAUGUUGUUUUCAAACUAUUUCAUUUUUAUACUGUCAUUAAAUGCUUUUCAUUGACAUGUUUUUGAUUGUUUAUUAUUCAAUCGGAAACGCAUUUCUUUUGAAAUAGCAUUUAAAUGCAGCAUGCAAAACUAAAACCAUGAAAAUUACAUCGGAUUCCAGAUUCAGCGGAGCAAAAAAAAUUUUCGGCUGGGGUAAAUUUACGUAGAUUUCAUCGGAAAUUUACAUGUUUUCGUAGCGCUUUUGGUUCGGCACGAUUACAUUGGAAGGCACUUAAAUUUACAAUGAAUUCGAUGUAAAUUCGCAUCAUUAAUGACGUGCACUUUUGGUACAUCAUAAAUGAUGUAAAUUUACCGGAUUAUUUUUUUCUGUGUAUAACACAAUAAUAAACAAGGCAAAAAGUACAUUAGGCUUUAUAAAGCGCUUUGCAUUCAACUUCCAGGACCCGUAUACUAUUAAAUUACUCUAUAUAACGUAUGUCAGGCCACUCUUGGAAUACUGUAGUAUCGUCUGGAAUCCAUACUAUGCCGUACACCAAGCACGUAUUGAAUCUGUCCAAAAACAAUUCUUACUGUACGCACUACGUAAACUUAACUGGACUGCAUUUCCUCUCCCAUCGUAUGAAGCACGCUGCAUGCUCAUAAACAUACAAUCAUUACAAGAACGUCGUAAAUUUGCCAUGCUCUCUUUCAUCAACGACAUUAUUUCUCAACGCAUACAGUCAGCAGCAUUAUUUUCAGUAAUACGCAAUAGUAUUCAUGAACCAAGCCGUACUCUUAGACAUUCACAACUUUUUAGAAUAACUGCAUACACGACAAAUUAUUUAAAAAAAUCGCCAUUAAAUCAAAUGAUGCGCUUUUAUAAUGAAAAUUCACAGUACAUACAUUUCGACAUGUCUAAACCGGAACUACGAAAAAAAUCUGUACAAUAGAAAUAAUAUCUAGUAUGUAAGAAAAUUGUAAGUAGUCUACAUAAGCUUGACGAAUAAACAAUAAACACAAAAAAAUUAUGAGAAAUAAGCGAUUUUGUUCUUCAAUCCAGCAGAAUAGAGAUAUCCACGCGCGAGAGUGUGUUAGUUUGGAGUUUAGUUACACGCAGACAUACGCAAAUCGAGUAGAAUGAUUCGUCUGUCAAAAUCAGCUGUGUCCUUUGUUAUACCACGAGCACGUGGUAAACAGCUGGUUUUUACAGGCGAUUGAUCUACUCGAUUUGCCUAUGUAUGUGUAAAAAUAGUAUAAACAAAAUCAGCUGCUUGGAAUUCAGCCAAUCCCAAUCGAUCAAAACCAAAACAUUACUUUAAAUACAAAUACUAACACAGAAUCAUGGUGUGCGUGAGAGAAACCGUGGAGAUCUCUAUGGAAUAUU